AUACCUUUCUCGGUCUUUUGGCUAAGAUCAAGUGUAGUAUCUGUUCUUAUCAGUUUAAUAUCUGAUAUGUGAGUCAUGACUCACACGAUAUUAACUCUAUUUUUAAAGGGGAGAGUUCAUUAAGGUAGCUUGCUACUUGGGCUCUCAAGCGUCGCCCAUGUGUUGCACUACUCCAAGGGCCUGGCGCACCCCAC
rnacentral:snRNA from 1 species